rnacentral:rRNA from 1 species
AUUGAACGCUGGCGGCAGGCCUAACACAUGCAAGUCGAGCGGAGCGGCGGACGGGUGAGUAAUGCCUAGGAAUCUGCCUGGUAGUGGGGGAUAACGUCCGGAAACGGGCGCUAAUCCCGCAUAUUAUUCGAGCGGCCGAUGUGUGAUUAGCUGGUUGGCGGGGUAAAGGCCCACCAAGGCGACGAUCAGUAGCGGGUCUGAGAGGAUGAUCAGUCACACUGGAACUGAGACACGGUCCAGACUCCUACGGGAGGCAGAAGUGGGGAAUAUUGGACAAUGGGCGAAAGCCUGAUCCAGCCAUGCCGCGUGUGUGAAGAAGGUCUUCGGAUUGUAAAGCACUUUAAGUUGGGAGGCGUUACCAACAGAAUAAGCACCGGCUAACUUCGUGCCAGCAGCCGCGGUAAUAC